rnacentral:rRNA from 1 species
GACGAACGCUGGCGGCGUGCUUAACACAUGCAAGUCGAACGGAAAGGCCCUGCUUUUGUGGGGUGCUCGAGUGGCGAACGGGUGAGUAACACGUGAGUAACCUGCCCUUGACUUUGGGAUAACUUCAGGAAACUGGGGCUAAUACCGGAUAGGAGCUCCUGCUGCAUGGUGGGGGUUGGAAAGUUUCGGCGGUUGGGGAUGGACUCGCGGCUUAUCAGCUUGUUGGUGGGGUAGUGGCUUACCAAGGCUUUGAAGGGUAGCCGGCCUGAGAGGGUGACCAGCCACAUGGGGACUGAGAUACGGCCCAGACUCCUACGGGAGGCAGCAGUGGGGAAUAUUGCACAAUGGGCGGAAGCCUGAUGCAGCAACGCCGCGUGCGGGAUGACGGCCUUCGGGUUGUAAACCGCUUUCGCCUGUAACGAGGCGUGAGUGACGGUAAUGGGUAAAGAAGCACCGGCUAACUACGUG